UACGUAGGGGGCAAGCGUUAUCCGGAUUUACUGGGUGUAAAGGGAGCGUAGGUGGUAUGAUAAGUCAGAUGUGAAAGCCCAGGGCUCAACCCUGGGAUUGCAUUUGAAACUGUCAAACUAGAGUGCAGGAGAGGUAAGUGGAAUUCCUAGUGUAGCGGUGAAAUGCGUAGAUAUUAGGAGGAACACCAGUGGCGAAGGCGACUUACUGGACUGUAACUGACACUGAGGCUCGAAAGCGUGGGGAGCAAAC
rnacentral:rRNA from 1 species